rnacentral:lncRNA from 1 species
AGAACGGGGAUGACGGCGAUACCGAACCAGUACGUCUGGAUGUAUUGAUGUAGAUCUAGAACCAUGAACGUCUGGAUGCGAUGUGCGAUGAUGUAUGUAUAUGUACUCAAGAACGGGGACGACGGCGAUCAAGUAAAACGUUGAUGCUAAUGGGCGUCAUUUACGCGGUCGAUGAUGGCGGAACAGACCGCCGCCGUUGAUGACGGCGACGGUCUGAGGGAGCCCGCCUGCGAGUGCGGCUUCG